GAACUGCAUGAAAAAACCCACAAAUUUGUCUAGAUUGAAUUGUCAGACAUCAUUCAAACAAUACAGAUAAUUAGCAACUGUGGUUUAUAAUGUGCAGCAGGGUCUGGUCUGUAACUCAAUGCUCGGAAACAACUGCUCUUUUUAUUAGAAACCUGCUGCUGCAACUGUGUAAAUCUGCAAUAAGUUCCUUGUUUAGAAUGAACCAUCCAACAACAACAUUGUGGUUUGGGUCUAUUCAGCCAAUAGAUUCGUCAGGGAAUCCUUCUGAUUGGUCCUACCUUAGAUCUUAGGUGAGGUCAGACUUGUUUUAAGAGUAUUGUCUGAUUAGGUCUAAAAGUGUUGCCGCAGCUGGCCAGCAGAGGACGCUGUGUGUAUAAGGUACCGAUGACUGACGCCUGUCACUCUAUUAGAGUGAGACGUCAAACUGCAGCCGUAAUGUAGAGAAACAACGGCAAAGGACUGGUGUUGUGUUAAGAUGUCACAGGUUGUAACAUAACCUUGAAUGGAGACACCGUCUAACCGCCAAAUCUGUCAACACUAAAUCAACAUGACGAACGAUGCUAAACAUAUUUUAAAAUAAGUGAUUCAACUGUUUUUACAACAAGAGAAAUGUACAACAGCAGAGUAAACGACAGUAGUGGUUCAGCUUUAAGUUAUCCCAUGCUAAUGUUAAAAUCUACGAACGAGUGGCGGCUAACGACCCAGAUGCUAACUGUAGACAGUUAACAUUACACUGUGUUAGCAGUUACACUGUGGUACUGAUUAACUGCAGGCCAGGAAAACAGUACAUCAUGUGAAGUGUGUAAAAUAAGCGCUAGAAUACAACUGUUGUAACUGUUUAUGGUUCAGUUAUGUCAUAUUUAGGAGUUUGUUUGAAUGUCAUCGUUAUUAGUUUAAGUGACCAUUUUGUUACAGAGAUGAUUUUUCUUUACACCUUUUAAUAAGUUAAAUAAAGAAAGUAAUAUGUUACACAAGAAA